UCAGACGAUGCGUCAUGCAUAUCAAUAAGCGGAGGAAAAGAAACUAACAAGGAUUCCCCUAGUAACGGCGAGUGAAGCGGGAAGAGCUCAAAUUUGAAAUCUUAAAGGGUUUCCCUUUACGAAUUGUAGUUUAAAGAAGUGUUUUCUGUUGAGGUUUUGGUAAAAGUUCUUUGGAAUAGGACAUCAUAGAGGGUGAGAAUCCCGUAUUUGACCUUUACUUUCAACUUUGUGAUACGCUUUCGAAGAGUCGGAUUGUUUGGGAAUGCAGUCCAAAAUGGGUGGUAAAUUUCAUCUAAAGCUAAAUAUUGGCGAGAGACCGAUAGCGAACAAGUACCGUGAGGGAAAGAUGAAAAGAACUUUGAAAAGAGAGUUAAACAGUACGUGAAAUUGUCAAAAGGGAAACGUUUGACACCAGUGUUGUUUUUCUGAAAAUCAAUUAAAGAACUGUUUAUGCUAAGCUGUUUAGACUUUAUCAGCUAUCUGUUUAGUUUUGAGCUUUUCUUUAAUGCACUUUUCAGUUAACAAGUCAACAUCAAUUUCUUUUGCUGUAAAAAAGCUUGAGGAAGGUGGCUUGAGAUUCGUCUUAAGUGUUUAUAGCCUCUUGCCUAUGCAGUCGGAGAGAUUGAGGUCUGCAGCGUAGAUCCUUCGGGGCUAAAUGCAUUUGUGCUAAGUUAUAGCAUUUUAUAGACAACUUGUUGACUAUGAUUUGUCUUGUAGCUUACUCGCUUAUGUUAUUUUACCUACGCUUAGGAUGUUGACACACGCGCGUGCUCG
rnacentral:rRNA from 1 species